CUCUUCGGGGAUGAUUAAACCGGCGCACGGGUGAGUAACACGUGAGUGACCUGCCUUUUAGACUGGAACAACUUACCGAAAGGUGAGCUAAUGCCGGAUGAGUUAUAUAAGUGCAUGUUUAUAUAGGAAAAGUUGGGGAGACCUGACGCUGAAAGAUGGACUCGCGUCCCAUUAGCUAGUUGGUAGGGUAAUGGCCUACCAAGGCGACGAUGGGUAGCCGGCCUGAGAGGGUGGCCGGCCACACUGGGACUGAGACACGGCCCAGACUCCUACGGGAGGCAACAGUGGGGAAUUUUGCGCAAUGCUCGUAAGAGUGACGCAGCGACGCCGCGUGAAUGACGAAGGCCUUCGGGUCGUAAAGUUCUUUCGACAGGGAAGAAAAUGCCUAUAAGUAACUGUGUAUGUAUUGACGGUACCUGUAUAAGCAGCCCCGGCUAACUCCGUGCCAGCAGCCGCGGUAAUACGGAGGGGGCGAGCGUUGUUCGGAGUGACUGGGCGUAAAGAGCACGUAGGCGGUGUUGUAAGUCAUUAGUCAAAGACUAGAGCUCAACUUUAGUAAGGCUAGUGAUACUAUAAUACUAGAGUAUCAGAGAGGAUUGCAGAAUUCCUGGUGUAGCGGUGAAAUGCGUAGAUAUCAGGAGGAAUACCGUUAGCGAAGGCGGCAAUCUGGCUGGAAACUGACGCUGAGGUGCGAAAGCGUGGGUAGCAAACAGGAUUAGAUACCCUGGUAGUCCACGCUGUAAACGAUGGAUGCUAAGUGUUGGGCUUUUAAGUU
rnacentral:rRNA from 1 species